rnacentral:rRNA from 1 species
UACGUAGAGAGCAAGCGUUGUCCGGAAUCAUUGGGCGUAAAGCGCGCGUAGGUGGCCCCGUAAGUCCGCUGUGAAAGUCAAAGGCUCAACCUUUGAAAGCCGGUGGAUACUGUGGGACUAGAGUACGGAAGAGGCGAGUGGAAUUCCUGGUGUAGCGGUGGAAUGCGCAGAUAUCAGGAAGAACACCCGUGGCGAAGGCGGCUCUCUGGGACGGUACUGACGCUGAGACGCGAAAGCGUGGGGAGCAAACAGG